rnacentral:rRNA from 1 species
AACCUGGUUGAUCCUGGCAGUAGUCAUAUGCUUGUUUUAAAGAUUAAGCCAUGCAUGUCUAAGUAUAAGCAAAAAUAGAGCAAAACUGCAAAUGGCUCAUUAAAACAGUUAUGGUUUACUUGAUAAUAGUUUUUACACGGAUAACUGUGGUAAUUCUACAGCUAAUACAUGAGCAAAAUCUCAACUUUAUUAGAAGAGACGCAUUUAUUAGAUAAAAAGGCAAUGCAUGUUUUUACAGUAUAGAAAUUGGUGAUUUAUAAUAACUUAGCAAAUCGCAAAAUGAAAACAGGCGAUAAAUCAUUCAAGUUUCUGACCUAUCAGCUUUCGACGGUAUGGUAUUGGCUUACCGUGGCAGUGACGGUUAACGGGGGAUUAGGGUUCGAUUCCGGAGAGGGAGCCUGGGAAACGGCUACCACAUCUAAGGAAGGCAGCAGGCGCGCAAAUUACCCAAUUCUAACAGUUUGAGAGAGGUAGUAACAAGAAAUAACAAUACAAGGCAAUUAAAAUGCUUUGUAAUUGGAAUGAUAGAAAUUUAAACCUUUUUUAAAGUAUCAAUUGGAGGGCAAGUCUGGUGCCAGCAGCCGCGGUAAUUCCAGCUCCAAUAGCGUAUAUUAAAAUUGUUGCAGUUAAAAAGCUCGUAGUUGAAGUUCUGCUAAAAGUAACCGGUCUGCUUUUAAUAAAAGUGGUAUCUUGGUGUGUAUUUAGCAAUGAUGUCCUUUGAAGUGUUUUUUACUUUAUUGUAAUAAAGCAUAUUCAGGACUUUUACUUUGAGAAAAUUAGAGUGUUUCUAGCAGGCCGACGCUUUGAAUACUGCAGCAUGGAAUAAUAAGAUAGGAUUUUAGUUCUACAUUAUUGGUUUUAAGAGCUAAAUUAAUGAUUGAUAGGGACAGUUGGGGGCAUUUGUAUUUAACUGUCAGAGGUGAAAUUCUUAGAUUUGUUAAAGACAAACUACUGCGAAAGCAUUUGCCAAAGAUGUUUUCAUUAAUCAAGAACGAAAGUUAGGGGAUCGAAGACGAUCAGAUACCGUCGUAGUCUUAACUAUAAACUAUGCCGACUAGAGAUUGGAGGUCGUCUUUAUAAACGAUUCCUUCAGCACCCUACUUACGAGAAAUCAAAGUCUUUGGGUUCUGGGGGGAGUAUGGUCGCAAGGCUGAAACUUAAAGGAAUUGACGGAAGGGCACCACAAGGCGUGGAGCCUGCAGCUUAAUUUGACUCAAUCUUGGUGUGUAUUUAGAGCAGGUUAAGGUCUCGUUCGUUAACGGAAUUAACCAGACAAAUCACUUCACCAGGUCCAGACAUAGAAAGGAUUGACAGGUUGAUAGCUCUUUCUUAAUUCUAUUGAUGGUGGUGCAUGGUCGUUCUUAGUUGGUGGAGUGAUUUUUCUGGUUAAUUCCGUUAACGAACCAGACCUUAACCUGCUAAAUAGGGUGAAAAGCUUUUGUUUUAAAAUUACUUCUUAGAAGGACUUUUCGUGUCUAACGCGAAGAAGUUUGAGGCAAUAACAGGUCUGUGAUGCCCUUAGAUGUUCUGGGCUGCACGCGCGCUACAAUGAUGCAUCCAACAAGUUUAUAACCUUAGCUGGUAAUCUUGGGCAAUCUUUUGAAUAUGCAUCGUGAUGGGAAUAGAUUAUUGUAAUUAUUAAUCUUUAACGAGGAAUGCCUAGUAAGCGCGAGUCAUCAGCUUGCGCUGAUUACGUUCCUGCCCUUUGUACACACCGCCCGUCGCUCCUACUGAUUGAGUGAUCCGGUAAAUUAUUUAGACUGUAUUUAUAGCAGUUUCUGUGUUAAAUAUAGAAAGUUUUGUAAAUCUUAUCACUUAGAGGAAGGAGAAGUCGUAACAAGGUUUCCGUAGGUGAACCUGCGGAAGGAUCAUUC